AUUUAUUCUUGGCUCGUUUUUCCUGUUAUUCUUUGCUCGAAACUCGUUAAAAAUUGGGUUUUUGGCAUGGGCCACCGCUCAAGUGGUGACCAUAUGUUGGCCCUAUGACCAUGUGCAGCAUAUGUUGGACAUGCGACUGCCGACGCCAUGUGUCGCGUGCGUUGCACUACGGCCAAUAAGACAAGACGACCUUCUGAUGGAGUUCGUGGAAUCUUGAGGUUGCCAACAGGAUAAUGGCAAACGAACAACGGGGGAAAUGUCAAACAGACAAUAGGCGGAAAAAUAAACGACCGGCAUUGUCUGCAGCUUGAAGUGCGGAAAAUGCGCAAGCAGCUCGCCUUUGUGCUCGCUCUAUUGUCCGUCCAAAGCGGAUAAUGAGCAAGAACGCGCAACCUGCCGAGUCUCAAACGAUCCCUAAACAACUGCCUUUUGCGCAACCGAGACAACGACAACAACAACAACUGCAACAACAGCAAUUGAUAUGCUCUGCAGGUAGCUGCGUGCCUGGCAUAAUGGGAUCAAAAUGGGAUCGCAUGAACGCCUCGCAUGGAAUAUUGCAGCCGCAAGCUCUUAUACUGUGGCUGUAGCGUUGCGCAUACGCCGCCGAUCGCCAAAUGGCUGCAAAGCUUUUGCGAGCUUUUAGUUAACAGCGCUUUAACAGCGAACGCCAUUUUGUUUGCUUCCAAUUUAAAAUGAUAAGCCGAACGUCAUUGAAACGAAUGCACUUGGAAACCGGUUUCGGAUUUUCCAGUUUAUUUUUUGUGCCCUUUUGGUGUUUAUAUACACAUAUUUUUUGCUGCUGUUUGUUAAUUUUUUACACGUAGCCCCAA